rnacentral:rRNA from 1 species
GAUGAACGCUGGCGGCGUGCCUAAUACAUGCAAGUCGAGCGAACAGACGAGGAGCUUGCUCCUCUGACGUUAGCGGCGGACGGGUGAGUAACACGUGGAUCACCUACUUAUAAGACUGGGAUAACUUCGGGAAACCGGAGCUAAUACCGGAUAAUAUAUUGAACCGCAUGGUUCAAUAGUGCAUGACGGCUUUGCUGUCUCUUAUAGAUGGAUCCGCGCCGGAUUAGCUAGUUGGUAAGGUAACGGCUUACCAAGGCAACGAUGCGUAGCCGACCUGAGAGGGUGAUCGGCCACACUGGAACUGAGACACGGUCCAGACUCCUACGGGAGGCAGCAGUAGGGAAUCUUCCGCAAUGGGCGAAAGCCUGACGGAGCAACACCGCGUGAGUGAUGAAGGUCUUCGGAUCGUAAAACUCUUUUAUUAGGGAAGAACAAAUGUGGAAGUAAAUAUGGACGUCUUGACGGUACCUAAUCAGAAAGCCACGGCUAACUACGUG